UACGAUCUAGUACAUGGAGGGGUUAGUGAUCCAACUUUUUGAAUACAAGACUAUACAACUUUCCUUCAUGAUAAAGUUGCAAGCCAACAAGUGACUACACAACUUAUCAUGAUAAAAUUGCAAGCCAACACUAAAUUACCCAAAAAGAUUAACCCACCAUUUUCACUUUCUUUACUAACCUAUCUUAGGCCUUUUCUUUUUAUUUUUAGAAAACAUUAUAAACAUUUUCUAACCUCAAAACCUAAUUCCUAUGAGUUAAUAAUAAUUUGUGAAUAUGCAAACAUUAUUCAACAUUUUAUGCAUUUAAUAAAGGUUAAGCAUUUAUUUAAAUACCUUAAUGAAAAGGUAUUAAAUAAAUACCUAAAUUUUAUUAUUUUUCCUAAGGUGUAAAAAUUUUAAUGCAUAAAGGAAAAUAAAACAAUCCUAACAAAAUUGAUUUUACUAAUUUUGGACACUUCAAGAAUUUGCUGUGAUUUAAAUGGUGUAAACCGAAUUUAAACUCUUUAUCUAUAAAAGGAAAAACCUAAGAUUAUCCAUAAACUCCCGGCCCAAACUUUUCUUACUCUACCCCUCUCUACCCCCUUUCUUACGUACUGGACCCACUAGACCGACUCUAUUCCCCCCUUCCUAUUCUACCCACCGGCCCACCUUCC
rnacentral:lncRNA from 1 species